AACGAACGCUGGCGGCAGGCUUAACACAUGCAAGUCGAGCGCCCCGCAAGGGGAGCGGCAGACGGGUGAGUAACGCGUGGGAAUCUACCCAUCUCUACGGAAUAACGCAUGGAAACGUGUGCUAAUACCGUAUACGUCCUUCGGGAGAAAGAUUUAUCGGAGAUGGAUGAGCCCGCGUUGGAUUAGCUAGUUGGUGGGGUAAGGGCCUACCAAGGCGACGAUCCAUAGCUGGUCUGAGCGGAUGAUCAGCCACACUGGGACUGAGACACGGCCCAGACUCCUACGGGAGGCAGCAGUGGGGAAUAUUGGACAAUGGGCGCAAGCCUGAUCCAGCCAUGCCGCGUGAGUGAUGAAGGCCCUAGGGUUGUAAAGCUCUUUCACCGGUGAAGAUAAUGACGGUAACCGGAGAAGAAGCCCCGGCUAACUUCGUGCCAGCAGCCGCAGUAACAC
rnacentral:rRNA from 1 species